UUCGCUUUAGGGUUGAUGUUCCCGAGGCUGAUCCAGCCCCACGAGGGGCUCAUCGGCCACCCCGACGACUUCGUCGGCGGCGGUGGCGGCGGCGGCGGGCCCGGGCACCGGGGGACCCGUGCCUCGUGCUGACCUCCGAUCCCAAGCCCCGGCUCCGCUGGACGACCGAUCUCCACGAGCGCUUCGUCGACGCCGUCACCCAGCUCGGCGGAGCCAGCAAAGCUACUCCAAAGGCCAUUAUGCGGACAAUGAAUGUGAAAGGGUUGACUCUCUUCCAUUUGAAGAGUCACCUCCAGAAAUACAGGCUAGGCAAGCAAUCAGGGAAAGAGGGGGCUGAUGCACCCAAAGACGGUUCUUACCUUUUAGAAAACCCUGGUAGUGGUAAUUCUACCCCAAGCUUACCAUCAUCUGAUCUGAAUGAAAAUUAUGAAGUCAAAGAGGCAUUAAGAGCACAAAUGGAAAUGCAAAGCAAAUUACAUCUUCAAGUUGAGGCUGAGAAGCACUUGCAAAUACGCCAGGAGGCGGAGAGAAGAUACAUGGCAAUGCUUGAGAGGGCCUGCAAGAUGCUUGCCGACCAAUUUAUCACUAGCGCAAUCAUUGAUAAUGAAAACCAAAAAUGCCAGGCAUAUGGGGUUAGGAUGCCAAGAAACCCGUCCAUUGAUCCACUUGGCUUUUACACGCAUGAGGUGGCUGCAGUACAUGGCACGGAGGAUGAUUUGCCACCGAGCCUCCAUUCCCAGAGGGGUGAUUGCUCUACUGAAAGCUGCUUGACCUCACACGAGAGUCCCAGAAUUUUAGCUUUGGAAGAAUCUCCAGCUGGAGGAAAGAAACGACCGAUGGGCAUUGACUCAACAAGCGCCCCUCUUAUUUGGAGUGAAGCUAAGUUGAAGAUCCAGGAUGUCGCUGUGCCCCAGGUAAGCCCUCAUGGCCUCACUGGCUUUGGGAUGUAGGGCUGAAUAUUCUGUAUUCAAUUCAUCUGGCUAAUUGGCCUAGCUCCUAGCCCGCCCUGCAAUUUCAAGUGUAAAAAAACGCCAGUUCUCUUUUUGUCCUCUUCGUCAUUGGCAGAAACAGUUGAAACAACUGCCUUAAAACCCUGUAAAUUAUCGACAAUUGGAAUGCUAAGACUCCUUAGUUUUUGACCU